GUGGAGUCUUAAUCGAAAUUCCUAACCUAAAGAAAUUUAUUCAUAAUUGCAACUUCUUGCAUCCCGAAUGGACAUCCCAUCAUUAGUUUUGACCCUAAAGCAAUCAUUAUAUUUUUAAUAUUUGUAAUUUUAUACUAUGUUAUAUUCUUUUAUUUCUUACAUAUACCUAUAUACAUAAAUUUGUAUAACUAAGUAUUUUAUUUCUACUACAUACCUAACUUACCUUAUUUAUAAUUAAAUAUUUA
rnacentral:lncRNA from 1 species